AGUGAACGCUGGCGGUAGGCCUAACACAUGCAAGUCGAACGGCAGCACAGUAAGAGCUUGCUCUUACGGGUGGCGAGUGGCGGACGGGUGAGGAAUACAUCGGAAUCUACUUUUUCGGGGGGGAUAACGUAGGGAAACUUACGCUAAUACCGCAUACGACCUACGGGUGAAAGCAGGGGAUCUUCGGACCUUGCGCGAUUGAAUGAGCCGAUGUCGGAUUAGUUGGUUGGGGGGGGAAAGGCCCACCAAGGCGACGAUCCGUAGCUGGUCUGAGAGGAUGAUCCGCCACCCUGGAACUGAGACACGGUCCAGACUCCUACGGGAGGCAGCAGUGGGGAAUAUUGGACAAUGGGCGCAAGCCUGAUCCAGCCAUACCGCGUGGGUGAAGAAGGCCUUCGGGUUGUAAAGCCCUUUUGUUGGGAAAGAAAAGCAGCAGGUUAAUACCCCGCUGUUCUGACGGUACCCAAAGAAUAAGCACCGGCUAACUUCGUG
rnacentral:rRNA from 1 species